rnacentral:rRNA from 1 species
AACGAACGCUGGCGGCAGGCCUAACACAUGCAAGUCGAACGCUCCGCAAGGGGAGUGGCGCACGGGUGAGUAACACGUGGGAACCUACCUUCUGGUACGGAACAACCAAGGGAAACUCUGGCUGAUACCGUAUACGACCUCCGGGUGAAAGAUUGAUCGCCGGAAGAGGGGCCCGCGUCCGAUUAGGUAGUUGGUGAGGUAACGGCUCACCAAGCCUGCGAUCGGUAGCUGGUCUGAGAGGAUGACCAGCCACACUGGGACUGAGACACGGCCCAGACUCCUACGGGAGGCAGCAGUGGGGGAUAUUGGACAAUGGGCGCAAGCCUGAUCCAGCCAUGCCGCGUGAGUGAUGAAGGCCUU